rnacentral:rRNA from 1 species
CAGCAGUAGGGAAUCUUCCACAAUGGACGAAAGUCUGAUGGAGCAACGCCGCGUGAACGAUGAAGGCUUUCGGGUCGUAAAGUUCUGUUGUAAGGGAAGAACAAGUGCCGCAGGCAAUGGCGGCACCUUGACGGUACCUUGCGAGAAAGCCACGGCUAACUACGUGCCAGCAGCCGCGGUAAUACGUAGGUGGCAAGCGUUGUCCGGAAUUAUUGGGCGUAAAGCGCGCGCAGGCGGCCUCUUAAGUCUGAUGUGAAAGCCCCCGGCUCAACCGGGGAGGGCCAUUGGAAACUGGGAGGCUUGAGUAUAGGAGAGAAGAGUGGAAUUCCACGUGUAGCGGUGAAAUGCGUAGAGAUGUGGAGGAACACCAGUGGCGAAGGCGACUCUUUGGCCUAUAACUGACGCUGAGGCGCGAAAGCGUGGGGAGCAAACAGGAUUAGAUACCCUGGUAGUCCACGCCGUAAACGAUGAGUGCUAGGUGUUGGAGGGUUUCCGCCCUUCAGUGCUGAAGCUAACGCAUUAAGCA